rnacentral:rRNA from 1 species
ACAGUGGAAAGUUCAGCGGCGAACGGGUGCGUAACACGUGGGCAAUUUGCCUUAAAGUGUGGGAUAGCUCGGCGAAAGCCGAAUUAAUACCGCAUGUGGCUACUGGAGACAUCUUCGGGACGCUAAAGGUGGCGCAAGCUACCGCUUUCUGAGAAGCCCGCGGCCUAUCACCUNGUUGGUGAGGUAACGGCUCACCAAGGCUAUGACGGGUAGCUGGUCUGAGAGGACGACCAGCCACACUGGGACUGAGACACGGCCCANACACCUACGGGUGGCAGCAGUCGAGAAUUUUUGACAAUGGGGGAAACCCUGAUCGAGCGACACCGCGUGGAGGAUGAAGGUCUUCGGGUUGUAAACUCCUGUCAUUUGGGAACAAGUCGUAUUUAUUAACUGUAAGUACGUUGAUAGUACCNGAAGAAGAAGGGACGGCUAACUCUGUGCC